AACGAACGCUGGCGGCAGGCUUAACACAUGCAAGUCGAGCGCCCCGCAAGGGGAGCGGCAGACGGGUGAGUAACGCGUGGGAACGUACCUUUUGGUUCGGAACAACUCCGGGAAACUGGAGCUAAUACCGGAUAAGCCCUAACGGGGAAAGAUUUAUCGCCGAAAGAUCGGCCCGCGUCUGAUUAUCUAGUUGGUGAGGUAACGGCUCACCAAGGCGACGAUCAGUAGCUGGUCUGUGAGGAUGUUCAGCCACACGGGGACUGGGACACGGCCCAGACCCCUCCGGAAGGCAGAAGUGGGGAAUAUUGGACAUGGGGCGAAAGCCUGACCCAGCCAUGCCGGGUGAGUGAUGAAGGCUUUAGGGUUGUAAAGCUCUUUUGUCCGGAAAGAUAAUGACGGUACCGGAAGAAUAAGCCCCGGCUAACUUCGU
rnacentral:rRNA from 1 species